UCUCCUCACCCCCAUAAACACUAGCAGCGCCGCCCUGAAACCCCUAGAUCGCCGGUGUGGCGCCGAUGCUAAUCACCCCCAAAUUUACACCCCUCGUCCUCCUCACUCCCCUUUUUCCAUCUAUGACAAUGGUUUCCCUCGAAUCAAGUCUACGCCUCUCGAAUCUUGAUUUUAAAUCAGACCCAAAACCCUAUUUUUGUCCAAAUGGCCCCAAAUCGGUACCUGAUAAUCCCCUGACCUUCCUCAUCCUGAAUCCCUGGUCGAAAUCCCUCGAAUCUCUCUGAAGCUCAGCAAAUAUCGGAUCUAGGGUUCAAGGUUCGAACUUGUUCUAGGGAAUUUUAAGGCAUCGAGUUAAUUUCUAAUUGAUGCCAUAUGCUUUACAAACAUCUAACUUCAACCAAAAAAUCAAGUUCGAUGAAUUGGUCAAGCGAAGAUUUUAGUCAUAAGUUUUCCUUCUCUGUUUUGAUUCAUUUUUUUUAAUCUUGUUUUUGGGUUCAUGUAUUAGUUGUUAAUGAAGUUAAGUUGUUAUCUGUUUCUAAUCGUUCAUGCUUCUGUUACAAUUCUAAGUUUAGAGUAUUUUGAUUCAUUUCGGUGUUUAGUUCUAUUUAGUUAGUAUAAUUCGAUUCGAUUAGAUUUUACUCGUUUUAAUUUCAACUUUAGUUCUGAUUUUGGCAAUAAUUGAAUUUGUAAAUAUUUGUAGGUGAUUUUGUUUCCUUCUUUAGUUUUGGUUUAGUAAUUCUAGACUUCUAUGUAUUUGUGAAUUCUGUUAUGAAUAUUGUUAGAUCUUAAUUGGUUUGAAUUAGUAUUCUGUUAGCUUGAUUAGUAGAUUUAGUUUUUCUUAAUUCAGUUUUUAAUAGUAAAGGUUUGGUUGAUUGGACUUAGCUGAAUAGUCUAAAUACUUGUUUAACUAACUUGAAUCUGUAGCUAGGGUAAAAGGGCUGUGGUUGGGUAGUAAUUCCAGAGUGAAAGUAAGGGUAGUUCAGGCAUAGGAAAGGGUAACUUUUAUUAAGUUUGGUAAUUUCAAAAUCAAGACAGGGGUAGUAUAGGCAUUGUAUGGCUAAAAGAACCUUCCAAGACAUUCCAAAUGGGGUUUUAGUGUAAGUUUUAAUAAUUUUGGUAGUAGUUACUUGGGGAACAAGUUGGGAAAUAAGGGACUAAGAUUGAAAACAGAAUAUUGAAGGGCUUCCCUUAUCUUUGCUUAUAAAUUGGCAUUUUCAUGCCUUGUGAAGGGGUUCCUUUCCAGCCAAAAAAAAAAAAAUCACCCCUCACAAACAUUCUCUUCAUUUUUAGAUCUAAGAACUGAAAUUCAAAACUUCAAAAGCCAAAAACAAACAGAAAAUUUUGGAAAAUCCAAAAAAAAAAAAUCACUGUUUCAUUGGAAAUUGUACGUUAAUUUUGAUGUUCUAGUUAUUAAUUCACAUCUCCCUUGAUCUCUUUAAUUGUUGAAAGUCCAGACGUGUUCUAGUUUGAUUUCGAAUAGUUUUUUUUGAAUUCAGUCCUUUUGUUUUGGGUGUUUUGUUGUUGCUGCUGGGUUUACCACUCUGUCCGGUCUUGGUUGAGUGCAUUUUCUGGGUUAAGUUCGAGUUUGCUGUGUUGACUGAGCAAUUACUGGAUUUUGAAACCUUCCUGAGUUGUUAGUUCUGUUUUUUAUGGGUUCUGCUCAUUACUGUUGCUGAUCCUCUGAUUUAUGCUGUUGAUCCUCAUCUCUUCUUGUUGAAAUUCAAUUUCCAGGUACAUGCUCGAAAUUACAUUGAUGUGACCACAACUUGGAGUGAGUGCAAUGGAAUUGAUUGUUCUGUGUUCAUCUUUGGAUACAUAUAGCUGUAAUUGUUCAAUUAGAAAAGAUGUAUAUGUGACUCAUUGAAUUCGACUUGUAUUUAGGACCGUUAAUGUAAUGGACUGUAUAAGUAUGUUUGUGAA
rnacentral:lncRNA from 1 species